UUGAAAUAAGUCAAUAGGCUAAACGUUCAAAUGCUGGUUAACAGAACUCAAAUGUUGUAGAGCAGAUCUUGUAGUUCUAGUCUAGAAGAUUAUUAUUGCUGCUUGAACAAUUGCUGUCGGGUAACUAUAUUGCUAUCUCUCAGAAAUAGAUCUUCAAUAGACUUAUUGAAAUAGAUCUAAAUCAUCCUGCCUCACAUCUUGUCUUGGCAAAGCGGGAUAUCAUAAAACAGCCCCUUAUUCAGCAAAUUGCGCAUGCUGCCUUCUUUGAUCCCUUGGGAGUGAGGCAGCACUUUCCUUGCGAUAGUAACUUCUAGUAUUAUAAUAUAGUCUACAAACUUUCUUCCUGAUGAUCGCCGACGUCGGCGAUGCCCAUUGUCGUUGAUCAUUUAUAUUCAUUGACGAGUAAAAUCUUUUGUCUAUGCAUGUUCUUCUUCAC